AGGUAAAAGUCGUAACAAGGUUUCCGUAGGUGAACCUGCGGAAGGAUCAUUAUUGAAUACGAUUGGUACUGAUGCUGGCUCUUCACUGAGCAUGUGCUCGUCCAUCUAUUUAUCUUCUCUUGUGCACAUCUUGUAGUCUUGAAUGAAACCUCUCGCAGUCAAUGCGGUUUGGGAGUUUGUUAACCCUUCUCCUGCUUCUUCAAGGCUAUGUUUUCAUAUACCCUUAUAAAGUUACAGAAUGUCUUUUAAAGGCUUGCGCUUGUCGCAGUCAUUAAACCUAUACAACUUUCAGCAACGGAUCUCUUGGCUCUCCUAUCGAUGAAGAACGCAGCGAAAUGCGAUAAGUAAUGUGAAUUGCAGAAUUCAGUGAAUCAUCGAAUCUUUGAACGCACCUUGCGCCCUUUGGUAUUCCGAAGGGCAUGCCUGUUUGAGUGUCAUUAAAUUAUCAACCUUGCUCGCUUUUACCGGCUUGAGUUAGGCUUGGAUGUGAGGGCUUGCUGGCUUCCUUCAGUGGAUGGUCUGCUCCCUUUAAAUGCAUUAGUGGGAUCUCUUGUGGACCGUCACUAGGUUGUGAUAAUUAUCUACGCCUUUUGACUUUGAAGCAAACUUAUGGGAACCUGCUUAUAACCGUCCUUUCGAGGACAAUCUUUGACAUUUUGACCUCAAAUCAGGUAGGACUACCCGCUGAACUUAAGCAUAUCAAUAAGCGGAGGAAAAGAAACUAACAAGGAUUCCCCUAGUAACUGCGAGUGAAGCGGGAAAAGCUCAAAUUUAAA
rnacentral:rRNA from 1 species